GACGAACGCUGGCGGCGUGCCUAAUACAUGCAAGUUGAGCGCUGAAGGUUGGUACUUGUACCAACUGGAUGAGCAGCGAACGGGUGAGUAACGCGUGGGGAAUCUGCCUUUGAGCGGGGGACAACAUUUGGAAACGAAUGCUAAUACCGCAUAAAAACUUUAAACACAAGUUUUAAGUUUGAAAGAUGCAAUUGCAUCACUCAAAGAUGAUCCCGCGUUGUAUUAGCUGGUCGGUGAGGUAAAGGCCCACCAAGGCGAGGAUACAUAGCCGACCUGAGAGGGUGAUCGGCCACAUGGGACCGGGAACACGCCCCAAACUCCUACGGGAGGCACCAGUAGGCAACCUUCGGCAAUGGAGGAAAGUCGGACCAAACAAGGCCGCGUGGGUUAGAAGGGUUUCGGGUUCGUAAACCCCUUUUGGUGGGGAGAAACGUGGUGAGAGUGGGAAGACUCUUCAGUGACGGUAACUACCCAGAAAGGGACGGCUAACUACGUG
rnacentral:rRNA from 1 species